rnacentral:tRNA from 1 species
AAGGCUUUAGCUUAAUUAAAGCGUUUGUUUUGCAUGCAGAUGAUGUUGGGUAGCUCCCUGCAAGUCUUA